AUACGGAGGGUGCAAGCGUUACUCGGAAUCACUGGGCGUAAAGCGCGCGCAGGCGGCUAUUUAAGUUGGAUGUGAAAGCCUACGGCUCAACCGUAGAACUGCAUCCAAAACUAUUUAGCUAGAGUGUGGGAGAGGAAGAUGGAAUUAGUUGUGUAGGGGUAAAAUCCGUAGAGAUAACUAGGAAUACCAAAAGCGAAGGCAAUCUUCUGGAACACUACUGACGCUGAGGCGUGAAAGCGUGGGGAGCAAACAGGAUUAGAUACCCGUGUAGUCC
rnacentral:rRNA from 1 species